rnacentral:rRNA from 1 species
GUGGGGAAUAUUGGGCAAUGGGGGAAACCCUGACCCAGCAACGCCGCGUGAGGGAAGAAGGUUUUCGGAUUGUAAACCUCUGUCCUAAAGGACGAAAAAAAUGACGGUACUUUAGGAGGAAGCCCCGGCUAACUACGUGCCAGCAGCCGCGGUAAUACGUAGGGGGCGAGCGUUGUCCGGAAUUAUUGGGCGUAAAGGGUGCGUAGGCGGCCAAAUAAGUCAGAUGUGAAAUACCGGGGCUUAACUCCGGGGCUGCAUUUGAAACUAUAUGGCUGGAGUGCAGGAGAGGGAAGCGGAAUUCCUAGUGUAGCGGUGAAAUGCACAGAUAUUAGGAGGAACACCAGUGGCGAAGGCGGCUUUCUGGACUGUAACUGACGCUGAGGCACGAAAGCGUGGGGAGCAAACAGGAUUAGAAACCCGAGUAGUCC